rnacentral:rRNA from 1 species
CCUACGGGUGGCAGCAGUGGGGAAUAUUGGGCAAUGGGCGCAAGCCUGACCCAGCAACGCCGCGUGAAGGAAGAAGGCUUUCGGGUUGUAAACUUCUUUUCUCAGGGACGAAGCAAGCGACGGUACCUGAGGAAGAAGCCACGGCUAACUACGUGCCAGCAGCCGCGGUAAUACGUAGGGGGCAAGCGUUAUCCGGCUUUACUGGGUGUAAAGGGCGUGUAGGCGGGACGGCAAGUCAGAUGUUAAAACCAUGGGCUCAACCUAUGGCCUGCAUUUGAAACUGUAGUUCUUGAGUACUGGAGAGGCAGGCGGAAUUCCUAGUGUAGCGGUGAAAUGCGUAGAUAUUAGGAGGAACACCAGUGGCGAAGGCGGUCUGCUGGACAGCAACUGACGCUGAGGCGCGAAAGCGUGGGGAGCAAACAGGAUUAGAUACCCUUGUAGUC